rnacentral:lncRNA from 1 species
CAUUAAAGAUCAUGGAAAUGCAAAUGAGAGCCUUACUUACCGGUCGGAGAGAUGGAGUGGGAAACACUGGUUGCCUGUGGACUUCUUCAAAGUGGUUUUUAUGGUUCAUGAAUUGGAAAUCCUGGACACCCUCAGUGAAUUCUUCUCUGGUAUUCCUAACGCUUUCGAUGACAAAAGCUGACUCUCGUGUGCAGGUGGGGAGGGUCCCGUGAGCACAGGGCA